AUGUUCUUCCUCUCUGGGUCGGCUCUUUGGAAAAGCUCCGUCCUCUGGUCACCAGUAGGUCCUUUGCUGUCUGGCCAGCGCGCUGUGCUCAGAGGCGGGCUUCCCGUGGGCGCACGGUCGCGGCCAACCUUCCCGCGCGAGCUCCCGGGUGUUCUGCUUCUGGCCUCGCCAUUCAGGAGGCCCCUCGGGCCGACGGCGCGGUCACCCGGACGGCGUAACUGGACGAGCCUCGGCCCGCGGUUAGAGGUGAAUGGGCGGCAGCCGGCGGGCUCGAAAGACAGGAUGCGCCGAGGAGGAUGCACCCGGCAGGGCGCACGGCGCGGCGCGCGCGGAGCUCGGCUCGCGGUGCCUUCAACACCAUGGACAGGUCGCGCGAUCUGGGCUCACCACCAGCCCUGCAGCCAGCCCCGGGGGCGUCAUGCCGGUCUCCCCAGCACAGUCUCCUUCCUGAGUAUCCACCCGAGAGGUUCCAGACCCGCCUCUCCCGCGAUGCCUCUGCCUCACUUCAUCUGGCUCCCAAGUAGCCCCAGGAACCUGCUGCUCAGGUGCAAAGAAAAUGCUGCAGGCACCGAGGAAAACAGCGGUCCCGGCCCUUCAAAACAAUCCGCCCCCUUCUCCUGCCACAGCCCGGCACUGGAGAUGUCUGCUCUGCCCAACUGGGGUCAGCCGCUCUCAGACUGCACCAUUUUCUUCGCAGCCCACCCAGGAGCCGAGGCGCCGGCUCACUUGGCGGCGAGCGGAGAAUCGCGUCCGGGCCUCGGCGUCCCGCGAUCAGGCUCCCAGCGCGCGGCGGCCGCCGAGGUGAAUGGGGCGAGGGUGGGGGAGGGAGGCUGGGGCGCUGGGCUUCCCCUCCCUGCCUCCUCCUCUAGCCGCGGCGGCUCCGGGGCCUCGCGGGCUCGGCGGGUGGUGGGGAGCCAGAGCCCAGGCUGCGCCCGCGGUGCUCGGGAAAUCGCAUCGCCCGGGUGCGGGCUCCGGAGGAAGCCGCUGCCGCGCUCGCUCGCUCGGGCGCCGGGCGCUGCAGCUUUGGCUAAAACCCACAGGCGAGAACACUGAGCGCGCAGCCAAAAGCUAGUGAUGUCAUCCGUGCAACGUGAGCCUCAUCUCUUAUUUUUCUAGCAUCCUUAAAGAUAAACUGCACCAUUUCCCAGGCACGAGAUGUCUAAGCCUGAGUCUCUGACCAGGCAAGUCAAUGGUGUCUGGAUAGGUAUGUGCCCAACCAUAUCCAUAUUUAUGCACAUAUACAUACAUGUGGCAUGUAGCAUGUUUCCGUGCAUUAUUAUAAAUUUAGGGAUGUUGCCCCCUUCUCCUGUUUAUCUCUUUUUGGUGGUGGAAAAUUCCCUCACAUCGACCCCAGUUCUUUAAAGACUGCUUAUUGCGGAGUCGGCGUUCAGAGGGGCUGAGGAAGUUCCUGCGUCCCCAGUUUUGUCGCUGGAAUCUAGGAUCACGUUAGAUCUUUGUUUUCCCCCAGAAAGCCACAGGCGCUACCUUGCUAGCUCCAGCCGUUUCCCCCCCGGGGCCGGGCGCGUCGCUGGGGUUGCCACGGCCAACCCGAGUCUAGCCCCACGCCUGCGCCAGACCCCCCGACACACACCCACCUCCACCUGCCACCACCUCCCUCCCCAGCAGGAAAGAAAAAAAGGAAACUGACUGAUCCUUUCAAGGCCAGAGGAAGAGAAUUUUAAUGGUUUGAAAAUCGGGAACGAGGCGUUUCAGUGCCAUCUAGUGGGGGAGGGGCGUGCCUCGCCUUCGGUCCCUGGAUGCGGCAAUGGGUUUUGCUGAAAGGGACAGCAGAGCCUGAGGAUGUCCGCCGCGUUCUAGGGGGCCCGGCUGGCCGAGGGGCUAUCAGGCACAUGCCGUUGGCCGCCUCCCGGUCCCCUGGGUUCCCUAGGACGGUGAGGCGGAGCCCAGCGACUUGGCCACAAUGUGGUCUCUCCUUUCCUGUCUACCCUCACCCGUUCCCUCUCCCCCAGCCAUGAAAAUCUGGAAACAAGCGCAAACACUUCGCACACUUGCAGACUUGCAGUCUGAAAUUCCCGGAGCUACUUUAUUCUGGAAAGCCCAGAGCACUUCCAGCCUAACAGGAUGUCUGUGUCUGACCACAGGGAAGAGGCAGAAAGGUGAAAUGAUACCUACAAGGUCACUCAGCAAGUAGGGGCACAUCCACAUUAGAGCCUCACUCUCCUGAUUACCAGCUCUCCCCUCCCCCGAGAACCACUUCCAAGAGGUGCCCUGGAGCCCCCUGGAAACCCAGGAGGUUACCCAUCUGGCAAUGAAGGUACCUGUUCCUUUUAUCUGUAUCUGUCCUCCUUCUUCCAUUAUUCCGUCCCUUUCUUGUUCUUCCUUUUGCAACUUUUCUCCAGGCCUGUGCCUUAGGCCUGCUUCCAUUGAUGUGCCUUGUCCCUUCUCCCAUGGCCCUCCUGGGCCGUCCUGUGAUUAGGGCCCUGCUGUGGGAAGGGCCCUAAAUGGAACAUUGUCCUCCUCUUUUCCCAACAUCAUUAAAAUUCUAUCUUGAAAACUUUGGCCUUGGUGACAUCCCCACAGCCUUUUAAAGAUGUUGUUUUCAGGCCUCCUUUGAAAUGCGGUUUUCCUGGACAGCACUACUCCAUUUGGGGAAGAGCCUGGUCUUUGGUGCUAAAAGGAGGGAGGAUUCCUCCUCCAGACUAUAUAACCACUUGACCUUCUUUUCUUAAUUGAGUGAUCUAUGUUUCUUCCCUCUGCCUUCUUCCAGUUCCUUCCACCCCGUUAGCUGUGGCAUCACUGUUUCCAACCUAGUCCUUCCGAUUUGAACCUACACUGUCCUAGGAUCAGAGAAUCCCAAAAUUGGAAGGGACUUUAGAGUUUACCACACAAAAAUGCAUGAAUCUCUCCUAGAACAUUUCCCAAAAAAGUAAUUGGCCAGCUUCUGCUUGCAUACUUGCAGUGAUAGGGAAAUCACUCUCUUGGCAAGUACCCUGUUCCACUCUCAGAUGGUAUAAAUGGUUAGACAGUCCUUCCUUAUACUGAGUCUCAUCCUAGAUCCCUGUAAUCCUACCCAUUGGCCUUUGAGAAGCCCACGGAUACCUGAUUCCUCUCCCAUUUAAUGGUCCUUCUCAUACUUGACCUCGGCCAUCAUGUUCUCCCUAAGCCUUCUUCCCUCCAGACUAAAUACCCCCUUGAGUUUUUUUUUUUC